GGUAUCAUCGUAGUACUUGCAGUUAAAAAUUGAUCAUAAUGGCAUUCCUCCCAAACCUUGGCUCUAUCAAGGGAUGUAGAUACCGUAACUGGUUGAGCUUCUUUGACAAACAUUUUUAGCUCUGGUGGGUGCAAACCAUUUAUUAAUAUAGAUAAUAUAAAUACCUCCGACAUUUGGUGGUUCGGCCACUUACUAAGUAUAUCAGCCACUCGGCCAUAGUACGAUUCCACCGCCUCUCUUAGGAUCAUUUUGCUGUUCAUCAACCUUCCUCGAAGACGGUCUUCAAAACCAAUUAGUCAAAAAUGGGUCAAAAAUGCAUUCUUCAAUGCUUCCUAGUUUGAAAUUUGACCAACUAGUUGACGGUUAUACCAUUCAAACGUCGUAUCCUUUAAGGUUGCUAGCAACCAUCGUAACAAAACAUCCUCGGUUCUCCCAUUAUUGGCGACAUAUGCUG
rnacentral:lncRNA from 1 species